rnacentral:rRNA from 1 species
GAUGAACGCUGGCGGCGUGCUUAACGCAUGCAAGUCGAACGGUGAAGCAGAGCUUGCUCUGUGGAUCAGUGGCGAACGGGUGAGUAACACGUGAGCAACCUGCCCCUGACUCUGGGAUAAGCGCUGGAAACGGCGUCUAAUACUGGAUAUGAGCUGCGACCGCAUGGUCAGCAGUUGGAAAGAUUUUUCGGUCUGGGAUGGGCUCACGGCCUAUCAGCUUGUUGGUGAGGUAAUGGCUCACCAAGGCGUCGACGGGUAGCCGGCCUGAGAGGGUGACCGGCCACACUGGGACUGAGACACGGCCCAGACUCCUACGGGAGGCAGCAGUGGGGAAUAUUGCACAAUGGGCGAAAGCCUGAUGCAGCAACGCCGCGUGAGGGAUGACGGCCUUCGGGUUGUAAACCUCUUUUAGCAGGGAAGAAGCGAAAGUGACGGUACCUGCAGAAAAAGCGCCGGCUAACUACGUG